rnacentral:tRNA from 1 species
GGACUGUGGCUCAGUAGUAGAGCGCUUCCCUAGCAUGUGUGAGGCACUGGGUUCGAACCUCAGCAUCA